AUGGCCCAGUCCAUCCCAGUAUGGCCCAGUAUGGCUCCCAGUCCAUCCCAGUCCAUCCCAGUAUGGCCCAGUAUGGCUCCCAGUGCCUCCCAGUUGCUCCCAGUCCAUCCCAGUAUGGCUCCCAGUCCAACCCAGUGCCUCCCAGUUGCUCCCAGUAUGGCUCCCAGUCCAUCCCAGUAUGGCUCCCAGUUGCUCCCAGUAUGGCCCAGUCCAUCCCAGUAUGGCCCAGUAUGGCUCCCAGUGCCUCCCAGUCCAUCCCAGUAUGGCUCCCAGUGCCUCCCAGUCCAUCCCAGUAUGGCCCAGUAUGCCUCCCAGUUGCUCCCAGUUGCUCCCAGUAUGGCCCANACUUUCACUUUCACUUUCUCAUUCGCCUUCACUUCCUCAUUCCCUUCUAUUUCCACUUCCCUCGCUUUCAUGUCCGCUUCCGCUCCCACUUUUACUUUCACUUUCUCACUUUCACUUUCCGCACAUUCACACCCACUUCCGCUUUCAAUCCCAUUUUUACUUUCACUUUCACUUUCUCAUUCGCCUUCACUUCCUCAUUCCCUUCUAUUUCCACUUCCCUCACAUACAUGCCCGCUUCCGCUCCCACUUUUACUUUCACUUUCUCACUUUCAGUUUCGCUUUCUCUACGUUCAUGCCUGCUUCCGCUUUUGCUCCCAUUUUUACUUUCACUUUCACUUUCUCACUCACCUUCACUUCCUCAUUCCCUUCUAUUUCCACUUCCCUUACUUUCAGGUCCGCUUCCGCUCCCACUUUUACUUUCACUUUCUCACUUUCACUUUCACUUCCUCUACAUUCACGCCCACUUCCGCUUCCACCCCCCUUCCCAUUUUUACUUUCACUUUCACUUUCUCAUUCGCCUUCACUUCCUCAUUCACUUCCACUUCCCUCACUCUCAGGUCCGCUUCCGCUCCCACUUUUACUUUCACUUUCUCAGUUUCACUUUCCCUACAUUCACGCCCACUUCCGCUUCCGCUCCCAUUCCCAUUUUUACUUUCACUUUCACUUUCUCACUCGCCUUCACUUCCUCAUUCACUUCUACUUCCACUUCCCUUACUUCCAUCUCUGCUUCCGCUCCCACUUCUACUUCCACUUUCACUUCCUCACUUUCACUUUCUCACUUUCACUUCUCCUACCUUCACUCCCACUUCCGCUUCCGCUCCCAUUCCCAUUUUUACUUUCACUUCCACUUUCUCACUCACCUUCCUCAUUCACUUCUACUUCCACUUCCCUUACUUUCAUCACCGCUUCCGCUCCCACUUUUACUUUCACUUUCUCACUUUUAGUUUCACUUCCCCUACAUUCACGCCCACUUCCGCUCCCAUUCCCAUUUUUACUUUCACUUUCACUUUCUCACUUUCACUUCUCCUCCAUUCACGCCCACUUCCGCUUCCGCUCCCAUUUUUACUUUCACUUUCGCUUUCUCACUCGCCUUCACUUCCUCCCUCACUUCCACUUCCCUCACUCUCGGGCCCGCUCCCACUUUUACUUUCACUUUCACUUUCUCACUUUCACUUCUUCUCCAUUCACAUCCACUUCCGCUUCCGCUCCCAUUCCCAUUUUUACUUUCACUUUCACUUUCUCACUCGCCUUCACUUCCUCAUUCACUUCCACUUCCCUCACUCU
rnacentral:lncRNA from 1 species